rnacentral:misc_RNA from 1 species
GAUGAAGAACGCAGCAAAAUGCGAUAAGUAAUGUGAAUUGCAGAAUUCAGUGAAUCAUCGAAUCUUUGAACGCACAUUGCGCCCGCCAGUAUUCUGGCGGGCAUGCCUGUUCGAGCGUCAUUUCAACCAUCAAGCCCUGCUUGCGUUGGGGUCCUGCGGCUGCCCGCAGGCCCUGAAAACCAGUGGCGGGCUCGCUAGUCACACCGAGCGCAGUAAUACAUCUCGCUUUGGGCGUGCGGCGGGUUCUUGCCGUUAAACACCCCCUUUUUACCAAGGUUGACCUCGGAUCAGGUAGGAAUACCCGCUGAACUUAAGCAUAUCAAUAAGCGGAGGA